UACGUAGGGUGCAAGCGUUGUCCGGAAUUAUUGGGCGUAAAGAGCUCGUAGGCGGUUUGUCGCGUCUGCUGUGAAAACUCGGGGCUCAACUCCGAGCUUGCAGUGGGUACGGGCAGACUAGAGUGCGGUAGGGGAGACUGGAAUUCCUGGUGUAGCGGUGGAAUGCGCAGAUAUCAGGAAGAACACCCGUGGCGAAAGCGGCUCUCUGGAACGGUACUGACGCUGAGACGCGAAAGCGUGGGGAGCGAACAGG
rnacentral:rRNA from 1 species